GUGGGGUGAUGGCCUACCAAGGCGACGACGGGUAGCCGGCCUGAGAGGGCGACCGGCCACACUGGGACUGAGACACGGCCCAGACUCCUACGGGAGGCAGCAGUGGGGAAUAUUGCGCAAUGGGCGGAAGCCUGACGCAGCGACGCCGCGUGGGGGAUGACGGCCUUCGGGUUGUAAACCUCUUUCGGCCCCGACGAAGCGUGAGUGACGGUAGGGGUAGAAGAAGCACCGGCCAACUACGUGCCAGCAGCUGCGGUAAUACGUAGGGUGCGAGCGUUGUCCGGAAUUAUUGGGCGUAAAGAGCUCGUAGGCGGUCUGUCGCGUCGGUCGUGAAAGCUUGGGGCUUAACCCUGAGCUUGCGGUCGAUACGGGCAUGACUGGAGUUCGGCAGGGGAGACUGGAAUUCCUGGUGUAGCGGUGAAAUGCGCAGAUAUCAGGAGGAACACCGGUGGCGAAGGCGGGUCUCUGGGCCGAUACUGACGCUGAGGAGCGAAAGCGUGGGGAGCGAACAGGAUUAGAUACCCUGGUAGUCCACGCCGUAAACGGUGGGCGCUAGGUGUGGGGGCCAUUCCACGGUCUCUGUGCCGUAGCUAACGCAUUAAGCG
rnacentral:rRNA from 1 species